rnacentral:rRNA from 1 species
ACUACAUGUACAGGAUAGGUGGGAGGCUUUGAAACCAGGACGCCAGUUUUGGCGGAGCCAUCCUUGGGAUACCACCCUUGUAGUACUGGGACUCUAACCAUAGGCCAUGAAUCUGGUCUUGGGACACUGUCAGGUGGGCAGUUUGACUGGGGCGGUCGCCUCCCAAAAGGUAACGGAGGCGCCCAAAGGUUCUCUCAGUACGGUCGGAAAUCGUACGUAGAGUGUAAAGGCAAAAGAGAGCUUGAUUGCAAGACAUACAGGUCGAGCAAGGAUGAAAAUCGGACUUAGUGAUCCGGUGGUUCUGCGGGGAAG